AGUCGUAACAAGGUAACCGUAGGUGAACCUGCGGUUGGAUCAUUAUUUAUACUAUAGACUAUUUCACAUUCUGGCCUGUCAAGGACAGAUUGUGACAGUAGUCUCUUCAAUGAUAUUUGACCUCUUCUAUUCCCUUGUAGGGUAGGGGAGGUCAAUACCAACACCAAUGUGAACUUUUAUACCAAAAACAACACUUGUUUUUCUCUAUAGUAGACCCUCCAAGUCCUCUAUAGAACAAAAGCAAGUGUCUAUACAAAAAACACUAUAACCCAAAAAAGUCUAUACAAUUUCAGUAAUGAAAGAAUAUAAAAAAACAACUUUUGACAACGGAUCUCUUGGCUCUU
rnacentral:misc_RNA from 1 species